rnacentral:rRNA from 1 species
UACGUAGGUGGCAAGCGUUGUCCGGAUUUAUUGGGUUUAAAGGGUGCGUAGGUGGCUUUGUAAGUCAGCGGUGAAACUCUGGAGCUUAACUCCAGACCGGCCAUUGAUACUGCAGAGCUUGAGUUCGAACGAGGUAGGCGGAAUUGACGGUGUAGCGGUGAAAUGCAUAGAUAUCGAUCGAGAACACCAAUAGCGAAGGCAGCUUACUAGAACGACACUGACACUGAGGCACGAAAGCGUGGGUAGCAAACAGG